GUGGGGAAUAUUGGACAAUGGGCGAAAGCCUGAUCCAGCCAUGCCGCGUGUGUGAAGAAGGUCUUCGGAUUGUAAAGCACUUUAAGUUGGGAGGAAGGGCAGUAAGUUAAUACCUUGCUGUUUUGACGUUACCGACAGAAUAAGCACCGGCUAACUUCGUGCCAGCAGCCGCGGUAAUACGAAGGGUGCAAGCGUUAAUCGGAAUUACUGGGCGUAAAGCGCGCGUAGGUGGUUUUGUAAGUUGGAGGUGAAAUCCCCGGGCUCAACCUGGGAAGUGCCUCCAAAACUGCAUGACUAGAGUACGGUAGAGGGUAGUGGAAUUUCCUGUGUAGCGGUGAAAUGCGUAGAUAUAGGAAGGAACACCAGUGGCGAAGGCGACUACCUGGACUGAUACUGACACUGAGGUGCGAAAGCGUGGGGAGCAAACAGGAUUAGAAACCCGGGUAGUCC
rnacentral:rRNA from 1 species